CGCCCGGCACCGCCCCGCCGAGGGGCCGCGGGCAGGGAGCGGGGGCGGGCCCGGCGGGUGCCCAGCGGCAGCACCGCCCCUCGCGGGCGGGGAUGGGGCGAGGGGCCGCCUCGUCCUCCCCGCCAUCCGCACCUCGGCAUGGAGAACAUGAAGGCACAGUUACCUCAUACAUGGAAGACUUGGCAACUUGUGGCAAAAACGACUGGAAAGAUAAGAGAAGACAUCAUUAUCAAGAAUUGUUACAGAUUCCCAGAAUAAAUGAGGUUGGAAAAGACUUCUUGAGAUCAUUGACCACAACCUUUGACUGAAUAUCACCAUGUCAGCUAGGCCAUGGCAGUAACUGAACGUCCAGUCUUUUCUUAACACUUCCAUACAAAGGAAGAAACAGAAUUUAGAGGAAAUAUAACAGCUACAGCAAUUUAUAAAAAGCAGUUUUAAGCAGGGCUCAAGUCAGUAGAGCUCCACAACAGACAGAGUUGUGGCUCAUACACCUCAGGCUUUCUGUCCUUUGUCUAUCCACAUCAAAUCAAUCCCUUCAGAAAAAGGCUACAUACCUUAGUUUUGCAAAACUUCUCUGAUAGCAUUUGGAAUAGUUGUAGCAGCAAUAAAUCAAACAACAAUAAGAACAUUUGACUGCUGAUGGGGAAGCAAAUAGGAGGAAAGUAUGGCAUUCCUGUAGUAUUGCUUGGGAUUUAAAAUUUUUCAAGAGAGACAGAACCACAGUCUUUUAGCCUACAAUUUGAAUUUAAGGAAGUUUUAUUCUAUAUCAAGGACACAGCCAAAAUGCAUGCUUCAUCCCUUCCCCUAGGGGAGACAUUACUGUCAGGACUGUGUGCAGAAUACAGCAAAAGUUAGGGAAUGUCAAAGACCCAACUGGUUCUCUUCUCCUCAGAGCAUGUCUGCAUCAGCUCAAGCCACAGUCCUAUUUAAAUCUGAACUGUAUUUUUUCCUGGCUGACUUCAGUCCCUAAGGGAACAUCCAUCAGCCAAGAAGAAGUGGAUCACGCAACGUCCCAGCCUCACACUUGAUACAGUCAACCUCAGGGUGACUUGGGAAAGAACUGUCACAGCCAUCCUGAAACUAAGCAAUUGCUGGAGUAUUCCCACUCUGCAACCUGCCCAUGACUUUGGCUUGUGUUGUGCAGCUGUGAAGAAACUCUCCAAGUCUUUGGCUCUUCUGCAGAUUAUGCCAUGUUUCUCACCAGAAGCAAGCCAGUACACUGCAUAAGAAAGGAAGACCGUCAAUAAUGAUACGCUUUCAAUUUAAAAGAAGGGAACAUGGCCCAAUCCUUAACUUCAGGCACUUGGAAGUUUGACAGUUCAUCAAAUUCAUAACAAGAGACUUACUGUAAUGGAUAAACCAGUAAAAAUGCAGAGAUGAUGACUCGAAACAAGAGAAUCCCUAAUGUCUGCCCUGUAUAGUACUGCUUCGACACAAGGAACGAGGAAAUGUGUGUCAGAAGAAACCUGGUUUUGCUUGUAGGGCGGUGGAAACCAAGCUGUACAAUACAGGAGCCAGAAGAUGUGAAGUAUUACACAGCACUUGUGGCUGCAAUAUUUCAUUUUCCCCUGUGGCUGUUGGAGCAAUGACUAGAACACUCAAACGUCAAAGGUAAACUGCAAACCCUCCCCUUUUUCAGUUCAACAGUGUAGUACAUCAUCAUUGACCAGAUUACAAAAUUCAAGAGAGGUAAAGAACUGGGAUUUUUGGGAAGGGGAAGAAGAAGCAAAAUAAGAAAAAAUUUUCAAUAAAGAGUAUUCUAGGUCCAAAUGGAUUUUACAAUUCCAACCCCCGCCCCCGAGACAUUUCAAUGAUGACUUAUGUUCCAGUUUUCCCGAAUUAAGAAACACCAUCAAAAUAUUUCAGAUGUGACAGAAGCCUUCAGCUUCAAAAUACAAUAAAAGUGAAAUGCUUGAACUGGACCACUAGAUUAAGAUACUAUUAAAAAACCAUGAGGGUCAAUAAAAACAAAACAAUUUCUUUGUGUAGGUGUAAAGAAAAGCUACUUGAAGUAUGUAAGCAAAUAGCUAGAUGUGAGUACUUCCACAACACAGUAAUGCUUUCAACCGUUCAACCAUACCAGCUAUCUGUUCAUACGGCAGAAGUUCUGCUUUAAUUAUAGGUCUCAGUUUUGUAUCAGAAUAUAUUCAGGUAUUUCUUUCUCUGUUUCUUUUGAAAUUUGAGAGCUUACAGGUUUGGGGGUUUUUGGUUUGGUUUGUUGAGGUUUUUGGGUUUUGUGGAUUUUUUUGUUGUUGUUGUUGUUGUUUGGUUGGUGUGGGUUUUUUAAAAUUUUGGGCACUUAAUAUUUAAGGAACACAUAUGCAAAUCCACACAAGAGAACUCUAAAGGUAUCUCAGUUUAAAAGGCAUGUUUUUUCUCUUUGUCAUACAAUCAACAUUCUUUUUUGAAGUCUUGCCUCUCCUGCCCCAUGUUACAUUCUCCACUACGAUUUGUUUUUCAGCUGUGCGGACUUCGGACACCGGUGUGUAGUAAGCACUAAGGAAUUUCCUGAGUCAGGUUCAUUCAUCAUUACCUGUACAAAGUAAAAGAAGGGGAGAGCAGUGUGAAAAGGAGAGACACACAUAGACACAAGUGAAGCUAGGGUUACAAAACAAUCUAAAAACCACAAUUUGGUAAGCAAUAACACAAGAAUACACUAAGUCUGUCACCCAUGAGGUAACUGUGACCAAAGCUGCCCUAAAGCACUACACACAAAUAUUGAACAUCGUGUCAUCUUGGAUUAGUGAAUUUAAGAUAGUUGCACCUCAAGUGGCCUGCUUCAGUUACAACAAUCCUCUUAGGAAAGAGGAACAGAGAUUUUCUCCCAACAUUUCUUCUUUGAAGAGUAUAAGGCUGUUGAGACAGAAGCUCACAAAGAUCCUUCUAUCUGUCACUUGUCCUCUAUUCACCCCUAUUAGCAUAGGACUUUUUAAUUCAAGUGUGUGAAAUGUACAGAAUUACUUUUUCUUAUCAUUUUUGGACGCUACCACAGAUUUGUAAAAUACAGAAUUAGAACUGAAUCUAAUAAAAAUAGCCACUUGUUAAUCAGCAUUUUGCCAGAUGAAAGUCAGCUCAUUUUAAUAGGAUUCACUCAGACAACAGCUUAUAAUUUACAUGUCAACAUUUCAGCAAAUUUUCAUUUAAGUCUUUUAGUACUAGUUUUAAACUAUCCUUAAAGCACAGUAGCAAGCAAAAGAAAAUGGUGACACUCUAGUAACCAUUUUCUUCUAAUUUUACAUUGCCAGUCUUUUGGGUACUUGAGAAAUGGACUACUACAGUGCAUCUUUCCACAUCUGCCACUAAAUCAAGAAAUUGUGCCUGAAAAAUAUUUUUCAGACAUUUCUCAGUUGCACUUCUCUAACACAGCAUGAAAACAACAUGGAAAUGAUUGUUCUUACCUAGCAGUUCUAUAUCAGUAGAAAAAAAAUGGGGAGAAUGUAAUUUGGAUUAGAAUUGAAAAAAAACCAAACUAUUAUGCUUUUCUAACUAGUUUUAAGACACUCCCCCAAGUAUUCACGUAUAAAAGACAUAGAAAGCUGUACCCUUACUUGACCUAGCACUACCAAUGCAACACAUUUAAAAGAAUUUAAAAGAUGCAGAAAGUACAUACUGGUUAACAUGCAUUAGAAUAUUUUUUUUAAAAUUGAAAUGCAUUAAAGAGUGAUCAUUGCACAUACUUUUAAAGCCAAUACAUGAUGUUUUUGAUUUCUAUAAAACUAAUUAAAAUUUUAGAUUUCUUCUUUUUCUCCUCUCCAGUGAAGACUUUCACCAUUAGAAAUCUAAAAAUACAUAACUGCAGUUAAGUUAUUGACAUGAGAGAAAUGAAAAAAAAACCCCAAACUAUUCCAUUACUGAUGGUGGUCUGUGUGGUUUUUCAGAAGUGUGACUCUGAAAGAUGGAGCAACAUCCAUCUGCCUUGUAACCUCUGCUAAUCUGGGCAGGGCUCCAGGGCAAAAUAAAUUAUUUUCAUGUAUUACUGAAACACUGAAUCAGAUAGAUGGUACAUACAAAUCAAGGUCUUCUGAAAAAUGUAAUUACAGGAUAAAGAGCUCCAUGAAAUUUCUGAAAAGGAGUGAUGGUGCAAUCUACUGAAAGUAACAUUUUAGAAAGCAUAGUACUAUUUUAGCUAGAAGUUCAUUCAUUCUUAAGAUAAAAUUGAUUUUGAUUCUGCAAGUUUUGUGCUGAAUUUCCUUUCCCCAUCUAUGAAACUGUUUUACAGAAAUUAAAUAAUUAUAUUGUACCUUUUGUAGGCCAAUUAUUGUUACAGUUGACUGUACAUAGAGUUGACUGUUGCAGUUGACUGCAAGUUGUUAAAUCAGAAUGGUCAGCAAAGUUUUGCCAGGAUACACUGAGAUUACCUUCUUGGUAGGCUCCGUCUGCCAUUACCAGAUGAAGUAUUUUGGCAUACAGGUGUUUGUGUUCAUUUCCAAGAGCAGUCUGAACUACGGUUGAACAAACAUCAAUAUUUUCAUCUUCAUCUUCGAGUAUAGCCUAGUGGAAAGAACAAACCAUGUAGCCAAAAUUAAUAUGGGUAUAAAAUUAAAUAGUUCAAAUCUAUUAAAUGAAAUUCAUGGUUAACCCAGAUUUUCUCUUUAAUCCACUGGCCAGGCAUUUUCUCUGAUAAUAUUUUAGUGUGCCAAAACAGAUAAAAAAACUAUAGAAAAAACCUUUUACUCUAGUUACACAAAGUAAUUAGUUAACUGGUACAGCAAACAGUCCUAGGUGCUUGUUUCUUCAAAGAUUUCCACUUGAGCUUGUUCCACAAACCUUUAUUUUCUCAUAAACUUCAAUUAAUUUAUCAAAGCCUAUUUCCUGCUCCAGGUUAUAUCUCAACUCUUCUAAAUGGCUGAAGAUACUAUCACAUUCUUCACAUUCGCUGGCAAUCUCUCCAUCACUAU